rnacentral:rRNA from 1 species
UACGUAGGGUGCAAGCGUUAAUCGGAAUUACUGGGCGUAAAGCGUGCGCAGGCGGUUGUGCAAGACCGAUGUGAAAUCCCCGGGCUCAACCUGGGAAUGGCAUUGGUGACUGUACGGCUAGAGUGUGUCAGAGGGGGGUAGGAAUUCCACGUGUAGCAGUGAAAUGCGUAGAGAUGUGGAGGAAUACCGAUGGCGAAGGCAGCCCCCUGGGACAUGACUGACGCUCAUGCACGAAAGCGUGGGGAGCAAACAGG